UAGCGGACGGGUGAGUAAUGUCUGGGAAACUGCCCGAUGGAGGGGGAUAACUACUGGAAACGGUAGCUAAUACCGCAUAACGUCGCAAGACCAAAGAGGGGGACCUUCGGGCCUCUUGCCAUCGGAUGUGCCCAGAUGGGAUUAGCUAGUAGGUGGGGUAACGGCUCACCUAGGCGACGAUCCCUAGCUGGUCUGAGAGGAUGACCAGCCACACUGGAACUGAGACACGGUCCAG
rnacentral:rRNA from 1 species